GACGAACCGUCCAAACGUUGUUCGGAAUCACUGGGCUUAAAGGGCGCGUAGGCGGACUGCCAAGUCCGGGGUGAAAUCUUUCGGCUUAACCGGAAAAGGGCCUUGGAAACUGGCGGUCUCGAGGGAGGUAGGGGCCUGUGGAACUUCGGGUGGAGCGGUGAAAUGCGUUGAUAUCCGAAGGAACGCCGGUGGCGAAAGCGACGGGCUGGAUCUCUUCUGACGCUGAGGCGCGAAAGCUAGGGGAGCAAACGGG
rnacentral:rRNA from 1 species